rnacentral:rRNA from 1 species
AUUGAACGCUGGCGGCAGGCCUAACACAUGCAAGUCGAACGAGUGGCGGACGGGUGAGUAAUGUCUGGGAAACUGCCCGAUGGAGGGGGAUAACUACUGGAAACGGUAGCUAAUACCGCAUACCAUCGGAUGUGCCCAGACGGGAUUAGCUAGUAGGUGGGGUAACGGCUCACCUAGGCGACGAUCCCUAGCUGGUCUGAGAGGAUGACCAGCCACCCUGGAGCUGAGACACGGUCCGGACGCCAACGUAAGGCAGCGAUGGGGAGUAUUACACGGUGGAAGCAACCCGAAAGCAGCCAAGCCACGUGUAUGAAGGAGGCCUUCAGGUUGUGAAGAACUUUCAGCGAGAAGGCGUUACUCGCAGAAGAAGCACCGGCUAACUCCGUGCCAGCAGCCGCGGUAAUAC